rnacentral:rRNA from 1 species
AACGUAGGACGCAAGCGUUAUCCGGAGUUACUGGGCGUAAAGCGCGGGCAGGCGGUCUUGCCAGUCUGAUGUGAAAUCUCCCCGCUCAACGGGGAGCAGCCAUUGGAAACUACAAGACUGGAGUCUGACAGAGGUAGGCGGAAUUCCGGGUGGAGUGGUGAAAUGCUUAGAGAUCGGGAGGAACAUCUGUGGCGAAGGCGACUGCCUGGACCAGCACUGACACUGAGGCACGAAAGCGUGGGGAGCAAACAGG